UACGUAGGGGGCAAGCGUUGUCCGGAUUUAUUGGGCGUAAAGAGCGUGUAGGCGGCCAGACAGGUCCGUUGUGAAAACUAGAGGCUUAACCUCUAGACGUCGAUGGAAACCGUCUGGCUAGAGUCCUGAAGAGGAGAAUGGAAUUCCUGGUGUAGCGGUGAAAUGACGCAGAUAUCAGGAAGAACACCCGUGGCUAAGGCGGUUCUCUAGUACGGUACUGACGCUGAGACGCGAAAGCGUGGGGAGCGAACAGG
rnacentral:rRNA from 1 species